rnacentral:rRNA from 1 species
GAUGAACGCUGGCGGCGUGCCUAAUACAUGCAAGUCGAGCGAAUGGAUUAAGAGCUUGCUCUUAUGAAGUUAGCGGCGGACGGGUGAGUAACACGUGGGUAACCUGCCCAUAAGACUGGGAUAACUCCGGGAAACCGGGGCUAAUACCGGAUAACAUUUUGAACCGCAUGGUUCGAAAUUGAAAGGCGGCUUCGGCUGUAACUUAUGGAUGGACCCGCGUCGCAUUAGCUAGUUGGUGGGGUAACGGCUAACCAAGGCAACGAUGCGUAGCCGACCUGAGAGGGUGAUCGGCCACACUGGGACUGAGACACGGCCCAGACUCCUACGGGAGGCAGCAGUAGGGAAUCUUCCGCAAUGGACGAAAGUCUGACGGAGCAACGCCGCGUGAGUGAUGAAGGCUUUCGGGUCGUAAAACUCUGUUGUUAGGGAAGAACAAGUGCUAGUUGAAUAAGCUGGCACCUUGACGGUACCUAACCAGAAAGCCACGGCUAACUACGUGCCAGCCGCCGCUGUAA